GCCAGGCCAAAAAGCCAAAACGAGUUUAAGCAAAUUCCGCGCUGUGUGUAUUUUUAAUUAGCUGUGACAAAUACGUCCGAAACCUAUUCGAAACUAAUCGAAUUGCAAUAAAAACCAGCGCUAAAACUGGAAAUCAACUGCUUUUCAUCCAAAAAAGUUCUCAUGGAUUUCGUUCGUUCCGAAGAUUUGUAUCCGCAAACAGGGUAUGCGGGCAGCUGGAAAAUCGCCCGUCGAAAAGUGAGUGACAGCCGAACGAGAGUGCAACCCUUGAGUGCACUGGCAGUUGGUUCAAGUGCCUACAAUCAAGAGAUGUCAGUUGCUGGAUCACUUAAUCAACAAUCGACUAAAUAAAUGCACAGCGAGUGGCCAGUCAGGCGCAGGUAUUGGCAAAUGUGAGUUCUGUCCUUUGGCUUUGGACCUCGCAUGUGCAUUGGCAAGAUUGGUGGAUCUGGAAAUCGAAACGAGCAUCGCCAUAUUGAUUAGGAACUUCCAGGUGGAAUUCAACUACGAUGCCAGUCGCCCAUACAAAACCUUCUUCUUCAUGGAGCCGGCCAUCACAUUCCGCUUCAAGUUCACCAAUAUUGACCCUUAAAUGGCUUU